CCCAACACUCACCCUAACCCCAACCCUAACCCCUUACCAAAUGACCUUAAUCUAACUUUUUAAACUUUUUCGAAAAUCUAACUUUUUCAACUUUUUUUUUUGCUUUUUCAACUUUUUUAAACUUUUUUUGCUUUUUCAACGUUUUUAAACUUUUUUAGACUAUUUUUUGAAAAUCUUGAGAAUCUCCCCACUCCUGCGCGGCCAGCCUCCCUUUUAGUGUCAUUUACAUUUAUAACAAAAAGUCUUGUCUAAAGGCCCAUACAGACCGGACGAGAUUUGGCAACGCGACGCGAAUUUUCAGUUUUCAAUGACAUUUAACUUUAAUAUUUUUCAAUGUUUUUCAAAUAUUCGGAACCACUUAAGC